rnacentral:lncRNA from 1 species
UUUUUUUAUAUUAAUUUAUUUAAAAAUAAAUAUUUUUACAUUUAUCAAUACACAACCAAAUUUUAAGAUAUGGUUGGAUUUUCAUAUUUUCAAUUAAGUGGAUGAAUUUAAAUUGCAAUUGUUUAAGUUUUGAACUAGAUUUUAAAGGAGUGAUGACAUUGUCUCUUAACUCUUAAGUGAGUUUUUUUCCUACUCUUUAAAUCUCUAAUUUUUUUUUUUGUUUUUUCAAACUUUUGGUUUCUAGAAUCUAAAAUGUCCCUUUUAAGGCACACAUUUCUUCUUCUUCUUCUUUCCACUUUAUACUUUUAAUAUAUUUUUUCCUAAAUCUUCAAACUCAUUUUUUUUUUGCAUUUCCUAAUUUUGAAUCAGAUCUUGCUUGAAUCACCACUAGGUUGGGAUAAUUUUAUAGUGUCCAGAAAGGAAUAGUCCAUGACAAAGCAGAUCAAAUGACAUGUUGAAA